GAUGAACGCUGGCGGCGUGCCUAAUACAUGCAAGUCGAGCGAAUGGAUUGAGAGCUUGCUCUUAUGAAGUUAGCGGCGGACGGGUGAGUAACACGUGGGUAACCUGCCCAUAAGACUGGGAUAACUCCGGGAAACCGGGGCUAAUACCGGAUAACAUUUUGAACCGCAUGGUUCGAAAUUGAAAGGCGGCUUCGGCUGUCACUUAUGGAUGGACCCGCGUCGCAUUAGCUAGUUGGUGAGGUAACGGCUCACCAAGGCAACGAUGAGUAGCCGACCUGAGAGGGUGAUCGGCCACACGGGGACUGAAACACGGCCAAGACUCCUACGGGAGGCAGCAGUAGGGAAUCUUCCGCAAUGGACGAAAGUCUGACGGAGCAACGCCGAGUGAGUGAUGAAGGCUUUCGGGUCGUAAAACUCUGUUGUUAGGGAAGAACAGGUGCUAGUUGAAUAAGCUGGCACCUUGACGGUACCUAACCAGAAAGCCACGGCUAACUACGUGCCAGCCGCCGCAGUAA
rnacentral:rRNA from 1 species